rnacentral:rRNA from 1 species
AGUGAACGCUGGCGGUAGGCCUAACACAUGCAAGUCGAACGGCAGCACAGUAAGAGCUUGCUCUUACGGGUGGCGAGUGGCGGACGGGUGAGGAAUACAUCGGAAUCUACUUUUUCGUGGGGGAUAACGUAGGGAAACUUACGCUAAUACCGCAUACGACCUACGGGUGAAAGCAGGGGAUCUUCGGACCUUGCGCGAUUGAAUGAGCCGAUGUCGGAUUAGCUAGUUGGCGGGGUAAAGGCCCACCAAGGCGACGAUCCGUAGCUGGUCUGAGAGGAUGAUCAGCCACACUGGAACUGAGACACGGUCCAGACUCCUGCGGGAGGCAGCAGUGGGGAAUAUUGGACAAUGGGCGCAAGCCUGAUCCAGCCAGACCGCGUGGGUGAAGAAGGCCUUCGGGUUGUAAAGCCCUUUUGUUGGGAAAGAAAAGCAGCAGGUUAAUACCCCGCUGUUCUGACGGUACCCAAAGAAUAAGCACCGGCUAACUUCGUG